UACGAGGGGAGCUAGCGUUGUUCGGAAUUACUGGGCGUAAAGGGCGCGUAGGCGGUACCAUAAGUCAGAUGUGAAAGCCCCGGGCUUAACCCGGGAGGUGCAUUUGAUACUGUGGAACUGGAGAUCGAGAGAGGAAAGUGGAAUUACGAGUGUAGAGGUGAAAUUCGUAGAUAUUCGUAAGAACACCAGUGGCGAAGGCGACUUUCUGGCUCGAAACUGACGCUAAGGUGCGAAAGCGUGGGGAGCAAACAGG
rnacentral:rRNA from 1 species